rnacentral:rRNA from 1 species
GGUUCAGGAUGAACGCUGGCGGCGUGCCUAACACAUGCAAGUCGAACGAAGCACUUUGUUACGAUCCCUUCGGGGUGACGACUUUGUGACUGAGUGGCGGACGGGUGAGUAACGCGUGGGAAAUCUGCCCUAUACCGGGGGAUAACAGUUGGAAACGACUGCUAAUACCGCAUAAGCGCACGAGAUGGCAUCAUCUAGUGUGAAAAACUCCGGUGGUAUAGGAUGGUCCCCGCGUCUGAUUAGCUAGUUGGUGAGGUAACGGCCCACCAAGGCGACGAUCAGUAGCCGACCUGAGAGGGUGACCGGCCACAUUGGGACUGAGACACGGCCCAAACUCCUACGGGAGGCAGCAGUGGGGAAUAUUGCACAAUGGGCGAAAGCCUGAUGCAGCCGACGCCGCGUGAGCGAUGAAGUAUUUCGGUAUGUAAAGCUCUAUCAGCAGGGAAGAAAAAAUGACGGUACCUGAUUAAGAAGCUCCGGCUAAAUACGUGCCAGCCGCCGC